rnacentral:misc_RNA from 1 species
AAGUCGUAACAAGGUUUCCGUAGGUGAACCUGCGGAAGGAUCAUUACAAAUCUUUGUAUAGCUUUUAUGCUGUACGUUAACGCGGGACUUUUGGGUUCCGACGUGUACUCGUUUAUGUUUUUGACUGUUUCUAGUAAGAUACAAAUAAAAUAAAAGACAACUUUUAACAAUGGAUCUCUAGGCUCUU